UUCAGAUUUGAGUACACUGUAUCUAUAGAUGCUAAUAUAUAUGCUUGCAUCACUAUGCCUUCCUGUGUUUCCUCUAUUUGGUUUCAGGGGUUUUGAGAUUGUUGUCAAAUUCACCUCCAUAUUAUUACACUCUAAAGAUUUAGUUGUUUUUCGUUGCUAACCAAGCGUUCAGUGGAUAGAUAUGAGCCGGGAGAUUUCGAAGCUGGAGGAUAUGAAUGGAAACUAGUGCCCUACCCGAAUGGAAACAAGGCGAGGAACGUGGCUGACUACAUCUCUCUCUUCUUGGAAAUGCUGAAGCCGAUUCACUUGAGACUGGUUGGGAAGUGUUUGUUAACUUCAGGUUAUUUUUGCUUGAACAGAAAAGGGGCUUCUACUUUGUUCUUCACGAUGCGAAAGAAAAGGAAAAAUGUUUUCACGGGAUGAUGCCUUAUUCGGUUUAUGAUCGAUUUAUUCCUCUUAAAGCUUUUAUUAAUACUUCCAACGGAUAUCUCCUGGAUGAUACCUGUGUUUGGAGCGGAUGUCUUUGUUUGUAAAGAAAGAAGAACAGGAAAUGGAGAGUGUCUAUCAAUGAUCAAGAAUGCUGUUAUGCGCAAGCAUGUAAGGUUGAGAACUUCUCAAAGUCAGAUGCUGAGAGCUACUACUCAGAAGUAUUCACUGCUGAAGGCUUGAAGUGAGCUACUGCUCUAUCCUAAGGGAAAUCAGAAAGGAAAGGGUACUCAUAUAUCUCUCUACUUGGAAUUGGAUGAUCUGAAAGAACCUGUUAAAAGCCUCUCUCUUCUCCUACAAAAGUGGCUUGAGCCAUCAUUCACAGAAAUCUGUUAAAGCAAUUAGAGGGUGAGUGUUAUUUAGGUCCACUGAAUAAUUAGGCUCAUUAAAUCUUCUACAUAGGUUCAUUGACUCUUCUACAUUAGGUUCAUUGACUUUUCUACAUUAGGUUCAUGGGCUGAAAGAGUAAAUGAUGUGUAUUUGUAAUUAAUCCACGCAUGUGUAUUCACUAUAUAUUGUACA